AAACUUCGCAAUACACGAAAGUGUGACGGGGCUAUCCCGAGUGCUAUCCGCUGAGGAUGGCUUUUACCCAGUAUAGAUAGCUGGGGGAAUAAGGAGAGGGCAAGUCUGGUGUCAGCCGCCGCGGUAAUACCAGCUCUCCGAGUGGUGUGGAUGGUUAUUGGGCUUGAAGCAUCCGUAGCCGGCUGGGCAAGUCCCCUGUUAAACCCAACGAUCUAAUCGUUGGCUUGCGGGGGAUACUGCUCGGCUAGGGGGCGGGAGAGGCCGCCGGUAUUCUCGGGGUAGGGGUGAAAUCCUAUAAUCCCGGGAGGACCACCAGUGGCGAAGGCUGUCGGCUAGAACGCGCUCGACGGUGAGGGAUGAAAGCUGGGGGAGCGAACCGG
rnacentral:rRNA from 1 species